UAGGCCUAACACAUGCAAGUCGAACGGUAACAGGGAGCUUGCCCCGCUGACGAGUGGCGAACGGGUGAGUAAUACAUCGGAACGUGCCCAGUAAUGGGGGAUAGCCCGGCGAAAGCCGGAUUAAUACCGCAUACGCCCUGAGGGGGAAAGUGGGGGACCGCAAGGCCUCACGUUAUUGGAGCGGCCGAUGGCUGAUUAGCUAGUUGGUGAGGUAAAGGCUCACCAAGGCGACGAUCAGUAGCUGGUCUGAGAGGACGAUCAGCCACACUGGGACUGGGACACGGCCCAGACUCCUACGGGAGGCAGCAGUGGGGAAUUUUGGACAAUGGGGGCAACCCUGAUCCAGCAAUGCCGCGUGUGCGAAGAAGGCCUUCGGGUUGAAAGCACUUUGUCAGGGAAGAAAUCCUUGGGCUAAUACCUAGG
rnacentral:rRNA from 1 species